AGCAGCCGCGGUAAUUCCAGCUCCAAUAGCGUAUAUUAAAGUUGUUGCAGUUAAAAGCUCGUAGUUGAAUUUCGGGAUCAAAGGAUCGGUCAUGCCUUGGUAUGUACUGGUUUUAUUGGUUCUCACCUUCUAAAGAACCAUAAUGUCAUUCAUUUGAUGUUAUGGGGAAUUAGGACUGUUACCUUGAAAAACUAGAGUGUUUAAAGCAGGCUAACGCUUGGAUACAUUAGCAUGGAAUAAUGAAAUAGGACGUUUGAUCCUAUUUUGUUGGUUUCUAGGAUCGACGUAAUGAUUAAUAGGGAUAGUUGGGGGCAUUAGUAUUCAAUUGUCAGAGGUGAAAUUCUUGGAUUUAUUGAAGACUAACUACUGCGAAAGCAUUUGCCAAGGAUGUUUUCAUUAAU
rnacentral:misc_RNA from 1 species